rnacentral:misc_RNA from 1 species
AUUUGACUCAACUAAUCCAUUGCGGAAGAAAGGGGUUUCUGGAACGAUUCGCAACUGCUGUUUUGAAGCUGAGAAUCAGCUACAAGAUUUACUUUUGACAUCUGAAUUUCUUUGGCCAGCUCUACUUCUGGCCUGUUGCUGGCAAAAAGAUAUACAGUGAACAAGAUACAUCAAAAAUGCCUCUUGAGCUUGGCAGCGCACUCUCAAUUGAGCGUGAACCAUGUGAUGACCCUG